rnacentral:rRNA from 1 species
AUUGAACGCUGGCGGCAGGCCUAACACAUGCAAGUCGAGCGAGCGGCGGACGGGUGAGUAAUGUCUGGGAAACUGCCUGAUGGAGGGGGAUAACUACUGGAAACGGUAGCUAAUACCGCAUACCAUCGGAUGUGCCCAGAUGGGAUUAGCUAGUAGGUGGGGUAAAGGCUCACCUAGGCGACGAUCCCUAGCUGGUCUGAGAGGAUGACCAGCCACACUGGAACUGAGACACGGUCCAGACUCCUACGGGAGGCAGCAGUGGGGAAUAUUGCACAAUGGGCGCAAGCCUGAUGCAGCCAGGCCGCGUGUAUGAAGAAGGCCUUCGGGUUGUAAAGUACUUUCAGCGGGGAGGCGUUACUCGCAGAAGAAGCACCGGCUAACUCCAUGCCAGCAGCCGCGGUAAUUC